UGAGGAAUCUUCCGCAAUGGGCGAAAGCCUGACGGAGCAACGCCGCGUGAAUGAAGAAGGCCUUCGGGUCGUAAAGUUCUGUCUUUAGGGAAGAAGGCCCAUGGGGUAAAUAAUCCUGUGGGAUGACGGUACCUAAGGAGGAAGCUCCGGCUAACUACGUGCCAGCAGCCGCGGUAAUACGUAGGGAGCGAGCGUUGUCCGGAAUUACUGGGCGUAAAGGGCGCGUAGGCGGGUAAUUAAGGCAGAUGUGAAAGCCCCGGGCUUAACUUGGGGAGUGCAUUUGAGACUGGUUAUCUUGAGGGCAGGAGAGGAAAGUGGAAUUCCUAGUGUAGCGGUGGAAUGCGUAGAUAUUAGGAGGAACACCAGUGGCGAAGGCGACUUUCUGGACUGUACCUGACGCUGAGGCGCGAAAGCAUGGGGAGCAAACG
rnacentral:rRNA from 1 species